UACAGAGGGGGCGAGCGUUGUUCGGAAUUAUUGGGCGUAAAGAGCUCGUAGGCGGCUUGUCACGUCGGGUGUGAAAGCCCGGGGCUUAACCCCGGGUCUGCAUUCGAUACGGGCUAGCUAGAGUGUGGUAGGGGAGAUCGGAAUUCCUGGUGUAGCGGUGAAAUGCGCAGAUAUCAGGAGGAACACCGGUGGCGAAGGCGGAUCUCUGGGCCAUUACUGACGCUGAGGAGCGAAAGCGUGGGGAGCGAACAGG
rnacentral:rRNA from 1 species